rnacentral:rRNA from 1 species
UACGAAGGGGGCUAGCGUUGUUCGGAAUCACUGGGCGUAAAGCGCACGUAGGCGGAUUUGUAAGUCAGGGGUGAAAUCCCGGGGCUCAACCUCGGAACUGCCUUUGAUACUGCAAAUCUCGAGUCCGGAAGAGGUGGGUUGAAUUCCUAGUGUAGAGGUGAAAUUCGUAGAUAUUAGGAAGAACACCGGUGGCGAAGGCGGCCCACUGGUCCGGUACUGACGCUGAGGUGCGAAAGCGUGGGGAGCAAACAGG